rnacentral:rRNA from 1 species
UCUGACUGAUACCAUCUGUUCUGAGAAGCUAAGCAAGGUUGGCCUUGAUUAGUACUUAGAUAGGAGAUCUCCAGGGAAUACCAGGGCUGUGAAAU